CGUAUCAGAGUUUAUUUUGAAUUUUUCUUUUACACUGAAAGGGUCUCAUGGUUGAGUGAUAUGA
rnacentral:tRNA from 1 species